rnacentral:lncRNA from 1 species
AUUCUCCUCCUUGACACUAGGUGGGUAGGAGCAGGAGGACAGCGGCCUGCCAACAGGUUGUUCCAGGCGAUAGGCGGCUUUGGGGUCGCCCCAGGAGUCCAGCUGCGAGAGACCAAUGGGAUUUGAAAAUGGCCUUGAUGAUUCAGACGGCCGUGACGUCAGCGGGGUCAAGUUGUCGGCAGGCGGAGCGCGCAGAGUGGAGUAACAGCGCCAUCUAGCAGCUGCCUCGGGGGAAUAUUCCGGGAAAGAAAGAGGGAACCUGCGGAGCCUCGGUCAGUUUGGAGGAGUCACGUAUCACACGGGAAACCAGCACACAAGACGCAACAAAACCCGACCCAGAGAAGCGUCCUUUACAGAGCGCACGGGCUGGGAGCAUGUUUGAAAGAAGACAGACCAGUCUAUUUUUGUGGUUGUUUUUAAAUAAAAGGAAGAAAU